AAGCAACAAUCCGAAUCGAAGAGCCGCCCCUGUUCUGAUAUUCUUCGACAGAGUAAGGGGAGGAAACACCACAAAAAUGUGAAAGUGGUGUUGAAAAAUUACCUUAGAGAGAGGGUGUGAUAAUGUAAGGAGAAGCAAAUUCUCCUCCUCCUCCUCCAAAUGAUUUGUGCAUUAAACCGUUUCCCAUCUCUGUCUUAUAAUCCUCUUGGUGUGCAUAUAUGCUUUCUUUUCUUUGAAAUCAAACAAGAAUUUUCGAGUAAAGAAGAUUGAAGAGUUGGAAAUGAUGCUAUUGAACAAUGUUGAGAGAGAGAGAGAGAGAGAGAAGGUGUGGACAGCCACGAAAACCUGCCGAAGGGAAAGGAGAGGGGGUGGUUUGGAAGGAAAAGGGAGAUAUCAUAGGAUGGAGUCAAAUU